rnacentral:rRNA from 1 species
ACGUAGGGUGCGAGCGUUAAUCGGAAUUACUGGGCGUAAAGCGUGCGCAGGCGGUUUUUUAAGACAGGCGUGAAAUCCCUGGGCUCAACCCAGGAACUGCGUCCGAGACUGGGAGGCUAGAAUCCGGGAGAGGGAUGUGGAAUUCCAGGUGUAGCGGUGAAAUGCGUAGAUAUCUGGAGGAACAUCGGUGGCGAAGGCGGCAUCCUGGACCGGUAUUGACGCUGAGGCGCGAAGGCCAGGGGAGCAAACGGGA